GCGGGCAUAGCUCAAUGGCAGAGCACCAGCCUUCCAAGCUGGCGGUGCGGGUUCGAUUCCCGCUGCCCGCUCCA
rnacentral:tRNA from 1 species